rnacentral:piRNA from 1 species
UGGGAAAUGCACUUAGACCUUGCUUCCAC